UAUUCUCCAUUCUUCUUACCUUGAACCAACCUCAGUAACAAAUUUUAACUACAGACGUGCUUGCUUGGUACACAAUGAGCUUUUGGAAAAGGAGUUUACAGAAAAGCGAAGAGAACUGAAGUUUGAUGGUCGUUUAGAUAAGGAACUUUCAGAAUCCUAUGCAUUUCUGAUGGUUGAUCGAUACCAGGUGAGUUAACGCAUUUUAUAAAAAACAAUUUGGGGAUGUUUCCAUUGUAAGUUACUAAUUUUGUGAUUAUUCAACAGUAUUCUUUACAAUUACAGACUUUUUUGAUAUAUAAGUGGAAUACAUGAUUUAAUGGGGCAAAAUGUUUAUUGUUUGUAAUUUGUUUUUCAAAUGUACUCAGUUUUUUCUCUGACCAGUCCUAUUUUCUUCCCCUAGAAUGUGCUUGAUAAUAAUACUUUUCUGUUUAUUUA
rnacentral:lncRNA from 1 species